UACGAAGGGGGCUAGCGUUGCUCGGACUCACUGGGCGUAAAGCGCACGUAGGCGGCUUUUUAAGUCAGGGGUGAAAUCCUGGAGCUCAACUCCAGAACUGCCUUUGAUACUGAGAAGCUUGAGUCCGGGAGAGGUGAGUGGAACUGCGAGUGUAGAGGUGAAAUUCGUAGAUAUUCGCAAGAACACCAGUGGCGAAGGCGGCUCACUGGCCCGGUACUGACGCUGAGGUGCGAAAGCGUGGGGAGCAAACAGG
rnacentral:rRNA from 1 species